rnacentral:lncRNA from 1 species
AGAUGAAACAUGCUGUGCUGGUUUCUGAAAACCAAGAAGCCUGGAGAGAAAUUUAUGACUUUGAAACAAAAUUUAGAGGUUGAAGGAUUUAGCAGUUUGCAAAGAACAUGGAGCUAAGCCCUUGAAAAAGGCUGUUCAAAAAGUCCUGGCCUAAAGUGCCAAGGUCGUUUUCAGAAGUCCCCGCAGAAGCUCUUAGGAAUCGGAAAGCGUAAAAAUGGGGAGAGAGUAUUUUGAAGACAUCUUUCCCCUGAAAGCUGUUGCUUGUGAGCCUGUGCAUUUUCCCACACGAAUAUGCUCGGCCGUUAUGUUAGCCAGGCAUUUCCUGCAUGCGGCAGUUCUGGAGGCCGGAAGUCCAGGGUCAAGGUGACAGUGGAUUCGUUUCCUGGUGAGGACCCUCUUCCUGGUUUGUACAUGUGAUUCCUAGCAGUCUCCAUUUUGAAGUUCUCUUCUCCUUUGACCAAGCGUCCAGCACAUCCUCACAACACUCCAAAGCCACCUUGAAGACUCUCUUCAAAGCAGUUCUUACUGUUGAUACCACCACCAUUGUUCCGACACAUGAAGCAGGAGGACCCAAGGCCAGAGGUCAUGGUGGAGAGAUGAGCAGAUAGUCCUCAAAGGCAGACAGGGCUGGGGUUGGAGAGGAAUUCCCUAAUAGCUGUUAUAAAUGGAGAUAUGACAGGUGUGAACAAACAACCUAGGACUGGAAGAAAGAAGAGGG